rnacentral:rRNA from 1 species
CAAUAGCGUAUAUUAAAGUUGUUGCAGUUAAAAGCUCGUAGUCGAAUUUCAGGGCGGCGGGCACGGUCUGCCGAUGGGUAUGCACUGUGUCGGCCGCCUUUCCUGCUGGGGUCCGUGUCUGCACUUAACUGUGCGGGUACGGGGAACAGCGCGUUUACUUUGAGAAAAUCAGAGUGUUUAAAGCAGGCCAAGAUUGCUCUUGCAUGGAUUAGCAUGGGAUAAUGAAAUAGGACUUUGGUGCUAUUUUGUUGGUUUCGAGUACCGAAGUAAUGAUUAAUAGGGAUAGUCAGGGGCACUUGUAUUCCGUUGAGAGAGGUGAAAUUCUUAGACCAAUGGAAGACAAACUACUGCGAAAGCAUUUGCCAGGGAUGUUUUCACUGAUCAAGAACGAAAGUUAGGGGAUCGAAGACGAUCAGAUACCA